CGUAGCACUGUAUAACAGACCAAUCGUCUCUGACUGGAAUUGCAAAUAUAUUCGGUUAAAUUCGGUAUUACUCGCAGAUCUUUGCUAGAGAAACUUUUUGUUUGAAGUUCGAUAUCGGAAUUGACAAAAAAUGUUCGAAUCAUUCAGCUGUUUCCAUGUAACCUGUGUUCCUUUUCGUUACAUAAUGACAUUAACCGAUAUCACACUUUUUAUGAUAUUCACAGAGAAGAAAAAAGAAGAGAUUUCUAUAUAUAUACUGACAAAUUAAACUUAAAUUCUUUUUUUGUUAUGUACGGAACACAUGUGUGCAUACGUUGCAGCACGGAUUACGAAAACAAAACAAUGUGUCCGAGGUUUCCGAGAACGAUUUAAUAUAUUCUCCAAGGAACAAAGAACGAAAAGAGAGACACUGUUCCCAAAAAACAUGUUUUUAUUCGGACAUUACAUGGUGUCGAUACUUUUUCCUGUAGGCGGGAAAGAUUUCAAGGCGAACUUAAAUUUCAUUCACCGAAAGGCACGCAAAAUCAGCAAGAUCCCAGAUGUUAAGCGAACGCAGGGAGGACUCGUUCAAUUUGAACCCCCUCCUCGACCUCUUAACGUUUGCCACCUAAUGUUCCUGUGUGGACAAAAAUGAAUGAUUCACAAAAGACCAAACGGCCAAGUUAUGACUAUGAGAUAAUAAUAAGUUAUUAUUAUUAUCCAUAAAAGUUACAAUCGUAUAAAGUGCUCUGAACCUUAUAAGUUUAUUAUAUUGUUGUUAACUUUUUCGGCGAUGGACACGCUGAAGGGAAAAUAAAUAGCGAACGUGCGUUAUUUAUUUUAUCGUUCCAAGUCGGACAUAUUGGUGGAUGUGAAGUUAAAAUAGGAAAUUUCAGUUAAUUUAAGAAAUAUUAAUUAUGUUAAGUUAAGUUAAUUUUAAGAAAUUUAACUUAAUUCUGUAAGUCCUACGAUUUUGUCAAUUAUUUUACAAAAAAAAGACGUUGUUGUUGGUUCGUUUUAAUUAUGCGGUUGAAAAAAGGGGAUCAGCUGGGACUUAAUUAGCAAUAUAACUUUUACACAAACACCUUACGUUCUGCGAUCUCGUCGAUUUGCGACCUUCAAUCGAAAAUACUCUAUUAUAUCGCCUUUUACAUAUCCUAUUCAGAGAAUUAAGUUCACCUUGAAAUCUCCUGCAACGCUACACUUACAGAAAAAAACAAUACACACUGUGCGAUGUCUGAACCACCGAAUAGCGUACCUCUGCCGAAAUUUCUUCCUAACUAGGAUUCAUAAAUUAUAACCAUUCCCGAACCGUAAUUCGAGCACAUUGCAUGAUUUGAUUCAAGGACUUAAAAAGUGAUCGUUAUGGUUUUUUCUUUUUUUUUUCAUAGUCCAACAAAUUGUUACCUUGAAUUUUAUUUGCAUUCCCAGAGAAGCAAUGGAAGUAUUUUUUGCGUACACCAAGUUUUAGGAGGACUCGGCCUAUAUACACAGUAAAAUCAUCGUAUCGUAUCUCAAUAUCCGACAUUUAUAAAAAUAUGCGUGUACCUUUGAAACUGAUGCACUUCAAAUCAAUCGUAUGCUAAUGCUGAAUCAUAUGUAUAUGUAUAAUAUUGUAUGUAUACUAUGUAACAACGCUUGA